rnacentral:rRNA from 1 species
UACUAGAGUAGCACUCGCAUAUCAAUAAGCGGAGGAAAAGAAACUAACAAGGAUUCCCCUAGUAACGGCGAGUGAAGCGGGAAGAGCUCAAAUUUGAAAUCUUAAAGGGUUUCCCUUUACGAAUUGUAGUUUAAAGAAGUGUUUUCUGUUGAGGUUUUGGUAAAAGUUCUUUGGAAUAGGACAUCAUAGAGGGUGAGAAUCCCGUAUUUGACCUUUACUUUCAACUUUGUGAUACACUUUCAAAGAGUCGGAUUGUUUGGGAAUGCAGUCCAAAAUGGGUGGUAAAUUUCAUCUAAAGCUAAAUAUUGGCGAGAGACCGAUAGCGAACAAGUACCGUGAGGGAAAGAUGAAAAGAACUUUGAAAAGAGAGUUAAACAGUACGUGAAAUUGUCAAAAGGGAAGCGUUUGACACCAGUGUUGUUUUUCUGAAAAUCAAUUAAAGAACUGUUUAUGCUAAGCUGUUUAGACUUUAUCAGCUAUCUGUUUAGUUUUGAGCUUUUCUUUAAUGCACUUUUCAGUUAACAAGUCAACAUCAAUUUCUUUUGCUGUAAAAAAGCUUGAGGAAGGUGGCUUGAGAUUCGUCUUAAGUGUUUAUAGCCUCUUGCCUAUGCAGUCGGAGAGAUUGAGGUCUGCAGCGUAGAUCCUUCGGGGCUAAAUGCAUUUGUGCUAAGUUAUAGCAUUCUAUAGACAACUUGUUGACUAUGAUUUGUCUUGUAGCUUACUCGCUUAUGUUAUUUUACCUACGCUUAGGAUGUUGAUCUACAGAGCGAGAGU